UACGUAGGAUGCAAGCGUUGUCCGGAAUUAUUGGGCGUAAAGAGCGCGCAGGCGGUCUAUCAAGUCAGAUGUGAAAUAUCCAGGCUUAACCUGGAGGGGUCAUUUGAAACUGGUAGACUAGAGUACAGCAGAGGAUAGUGAAAUUCCCGGUGUAGUGGUGAAAUGCGUAGAUAUCGGGAGGAACACCAGUGGCGAAGGCGACUAUCUGGGCUGAAACUGACGCUGAGGCGCGAAGGCUAGGGGAGCAAACAGG
rnacentral:rRNA from 1 species